rnacentral:rRNA from 1 species
GACGAACGCUGGCGGCGUGCUUAACACAUGCAAGUCGAACGGAAAGGCCCUGCUUUUGUGGGGUGCUCGAGUGGCGAACGGGUGAGUAACACGUGAGUAACCUGCCCUUGACUUUGGGAUAACUUCAGGAAACUGGGGCUAAUACCGGAUAGGAGCUCCUGCUGCAUGGUGGGGGUUGGAAAGUUUCGGCGGUUGGGGAUGGACUCGCGGCUUAUCAGCUUGUUGGUGGGGUAGUGGCUUACCAAGGCUUUGACGGGUAGCCGGCCUGAGAGGGUGACCGGCCACAUUGGGACUGAGAUACGGCCCAGACUCCUACGGGGGGCAGCAGUGGGGAAUAUUGCACAAUGGGCGGAAGCCUGAUGCAGCAACGCCGCGUGCGGGAUGACGGCCUUCGGGUUAUAAACCGCUUUCGCCUGUGACGAAGCGUGAGUGACGGUAAUGGGUAAAGAAGCACCGGCUAACUACGUG